GCCUGGUUAUAUCAGUCGGUAGAUAGUUUGACUCUUACCCCACCCCUCCGGGUCUUGUUAGGAUAUCAAAAUGUCAUGGGUUCGAGCCCCAUACUAGGCU